GGGCGGCAGUCGCUCGUAGCAGGCGGCCGACGCGGGUCGCUCUCGCCCACUCGCUACGCUCUGUGCAUCGCGGAUUGCGCUCGUGAUACCGCCACCAGAUAUCGAAAGGUGCAAAGGCGUUAAGUGUUCAUCAGAAAACUUAAUUAUUAUUUUAAACAUUAUGUAAUAUGUGCUAUACAAGUGCUUUUAAAUUGUUCUUUAUUGUCGUUUAAGUGCCUCAGCAAUAAAUAUCAGAGAUUCAGCGACACAAGUGCUUAAUUUUUUUAAUAAGUGCAUAAAUAAUUUAUAUUCGAACAAUAGAUAAUUGAUAGGGAAGGACAGAGUAUUUAUUUAGGAAGCCGAGUCAAUAUUCAACAAUGUUGUAAAGGUAUUAGCUGUUUGAUGAUUACGAGUAUGGUGCUACGUACGUAAGAAUAACAAAGUAAUGGUGCGACAAU
rnacentral:misc_RNA from 1 species